UACAGAGACGUCGAGCGUUGUUCGGAUUCAUUGGGCGUAAAGGGUGCGUAGGCGGUGAGGUAAGUCGGAUGUGAAAUCCCAAGGCUUAACCUUGGAAGUGCAUCCGAAACUACCUCGCUUGAGGACUGGAAGGGAGACUGGAAUUCUCGGUGUAGCGGUGAAAUGCGUAGAUAUCGAGAGGAACACCUGUGGCGAAGGCGGGUCUCUGGACAGUUCCUGACGCUGAGGCACGAAAGCCAGGGGAGCAAACGGG
rnacentral:rRNA from 1 species